CUUACGGUGAUGCUGAUUUGAUUACUAAAUUGACAAGUGAGAAGAAAAUCUUUAAGAAUGCUGAAGGAGACUUUGGGAGACAGUCUGCAAUACGUGAGCGAAGCACAGUGAUGCCUGAUCAAUGGUGGGAAUCUUAUGGAUGUGGAGCACCAAACCUGCAAAAGUUAGCAAUUCGUGUUUUGAGUCAAACUUGCAGUUCUUCAGGUUGUGAGCGUAACUGAAGCAUUUUCGAACACAUUCACUCAAAGAAAAAGAAUCGGUUAGAGCAUCAAAAGCUUAAUGAUCUUGUUUAUGUUCAUUACAACUUAAGGCUACAACAAAGGAACCGAAUGAGAAAGCAAAGUUAUGAUCCAAUUUGUCUUGAUGCAUUUGAGGAUCAUUCGGAAUGGAUAAUGGAAGAUUCACCACCAUUUUUAACUCCUGAAGAAGUUGAUGCUUUACGGAAUGAUCUUGCAAAUAUGUCUCUUCAAUCAGCUUUAGAUGAUUUGGGUAUGUUGUUGUUAGGGAUGAUUUUGUAAUGCUUUAACCAAAUAUUUUGCCUUAUUAUUGAUUAUGAUUUGUGAAACAUUAUUGAAAUGCUAGAUG